UACGGGGGGGGCAAGCGUUGUUCGGAAUUACUGGGCGUAAAGGGCUCGUAGGCGGCCUGCUAAGUCGGACGUGAAAUCCCUCGGCUCAACCGGGGAACUGCGUCCGAUACUGGCGAGGCUUGAAUCCGGGAGAGGGAUGUGGAAUUCCAGGUGUAGCAGUGAAAUGCGUAGAUAUCGAGAGGAACACCAGUGGCGAAGGCGAGUCCCUGGACAACACCUGACACUGAGGCACGAAAGCUAGGGGAGCAAACAGG
rnacentral:rRNA from 1 species